GGUUUUGAUGCCCAGAGAUUCGAAAGUCGGCUGUGGGCCCCACUUUUCUUUCUUAAUAGAGGUCUGUUUCUCUGGAAUUUUCGGAAUAUCGACCGGAUUGGUGACUUUCAGGCAGUUGAUGAGAUACUUCAUGGCGUGAGACAAGGUGGUGUUCUCUCCUGCUUCUUUCGGGCGGCCGUAGAUAUCGAGUCCGUACUGCCCCGUCUGAGGGAGAGUCGCCGUGAUGUGGAUAGUGUCCUUAUCUACAUUUGUAUUGAUGAAGGCGUCCAGCGUUUUGGUUUCCACAUUGUUCAUUUUGAGUUUUGCUACCACUUGUAAGGGACGUGGCAUCUUUAACUUUAUAUCCAGAGUGUCCUCCACGUUCAGAAUUCCCGCCUUGGGGUUGUCCGGUGGUUCAUCUCCAGAGGAGCUUCCACUGUCCGACAUUCUGUCCCCUUCCGAAGAAUCGGGUGAUGCUCGGCUUUUGCUGGAUUUCCCUGGUCGCGUUUGAACCACCUUCAAUCCAAAGUGUCGGUAUCCCUUUUUAGGUCCCCAUUCACCGGAAGCGCAGUCUGGGAGGGGAUGCAUUUUCCCACUAAGCGAAUUACAAACAACCUUAAACUUACAAGUACACUUCAAUCUAAAAGGAGAAAUUGAUGCCCCGGCAGUCUCCUCAGAAUUAAUGAGUCUAUUGCUUUCCUCAAUCUUAUUGGCAAAAACUUCAAAGAAAUACUCUCCCACGGCUGGGACAUGGAUGCUGAACAUCACGGUGUUGUCAAUCAUGGUCUGGAAUACAAACCUCUCCAGACUGGCGCCUUUGUAUGUGGCCUCUUGUCGCUUCUCCUUGUCUGCGUACCUCAUCUGAUAAUAGAAAACCAGGUCAUUUUCGUAUUCUUCUGGAAUUUUUAUUUUCACUUCCGUUGCCCCUUUUUCAGUUGUAACAAGGACCGCGGGUAAACUCUUUUCAAACGUCAUUCCAUAGUGGAAGAAAAUGGAGCGAACAAACGGCAAGGCCUCGAACUCUUCAAGCGUGAUUGGGUUCUCCAGCAGCUGCCAUUUUGGAUCAGAGGCCCAGAAUUCCUGGAUGAACUCGUCCGGAUCCGUCAGAAAAUAGUGCUCGUCGUACUGAUAGCGGAUCUGGUCCUUGGACUUGGGCUUUGACGUGAACCCCGUUAUCCGUUUAUGAAGGAGAUUUGAAACCUACCUGGCUCCCCAGUUACACUGGACCAGCCGCCAGUCGCCGUCAAUAAGCACGGCAUUCCAAGUAUUCUGGAAGUGCUCGGGCUUGAUCUUCAUCCCGGGCUCGUACCCGACACUCUUAGAAUGACCUUUGAUCUCUUCACAGUUCAGACCGGCGUAACUUUUGAAAGAAAAAAUACAAGAAAUCGUUAUUCAAACACAAAUCACCGUAAACAACGUCUUUGCUCUUUCUAUCCACAAUUCUUUUAUUGUCGUAUUUUGUUAAUUUAUGAAACUACAACUUUUUUUGAAGAUUGUAUCUGUGUACGACGCAUGUAUACAGGGACUUACAAGCAACACAACUGUUUAAUUGUUUGAUAUUUACCUGCACAAUCUCAUAAACAGCACGUGAU
rnacentral:sRNA from 1 species